rnacentral:rRNA from 1 species
AAAGAUCUGCACUUCACCUAUAGGGUGCAAGUUGACAGUGACGGGAGAAUUAGGAAUUUGAUGUGGGCAAGUGGGAACAGUAGGCUGCAGUACUCUUUCUUCAGGGAUGUCAUAACAUUUGACACAACUUACAGGACAAACUUGUACGACAUGCCUUUUGGAUUGUUUGUUGGUGUGAACAACGACUUCCAGAGUGUGAUUAUGGCGGGUGUGCUUGCUCGUGAUGAGACUGAGGAUAGCUUUGUAUGGGUUUUUUCUGAGUUCCUUCGUAUAAUGGGUGGCUCAGCACCAGUAACUAUACUCACAGGUAGAAAAAAAAAGAUUUUAUCUAGUUUUUAG